GACGAACGCUGGCGGCGUGCCUAAUACAUGCAAGUCGAACGCAGUGGGGACGGGUGAGUAACACGUGGGUAACCUCCCAUCAGAGGAGAUAACACUUGGAAACAGGUGCUAAACCGAUACUGAUUGAUGGACCCGCGGUGCAUUAGCUAGUUGGUGAGGUAACGGCUCACCAAGGCCACGAUGCCUAGCCGGUCUGAGAGUGUGAUCGGCAACACUGGGACUGAGACACGGCCCAGACUCCUACGGGAGGCAGCAGUGGGGAAUAUUGGGCAAUGGACGAAAGGCUGACCGAGCAACGCCGCGUGAGUGAAGAAGGUUUUCGGAUCGUAAAACUCUGUUGUUGGAGAAGCGGUAUCCACAGAGAAAGCAACGGCUAACUACGUGCCAGCAGCCGCGGUAAUUC
rnacentral:rRNA from 1 species